rnacentral:lncRNA from 1 species
UUGUUGUUGUUGAAGAACUUUCAAGACUAAGAAGAAGUUAUUCCAAAUACGAGAAAGCCUCCUUGGCCAGCGCGUGUCGCUGUGUCUGGUCAAGGAGGGCAACGAGCGUAAACGAUGAAGAUGCAGACACACAUUUUUGUUCGUUCUCGCCCGCGAACGUAACACUAUGGCGAAAUCUUCCUUUAGCGCUCUCCGUGGAACCCAAUGAACUUUGAAAAUGUUCUUAUGACUUGCAGUCGAUUUUACAUAACUUUUGUCAAAUGUUCCGAACUUCUUUCUGAUCACGAAGCUCAUAAAUUCGACUUAAUUCGUUGCGAAGUUCAAAAGUUUGUAAUAACAUUCACAAGCC